rnacentral:rRNA from 1 species
GCUUCUCUUGAGAGCGGCGGACGGGUGAGUAAUGCCUAGGAAUCUGCCUAGUGGUGGGGGAUAACGUUCGGAAACGGGCGCUAAUACCGCAUACGUCCUACGGGAGAAAGCGGGGGACCUUCGGGCCUCGCGCCAUUAGAUGAGCCUAGGUCGGAUUAGCUAGUUGGUGAGGUAAUGGCUCACCAAGGCGACGAUCCGUAACUGGUCUGAGAGGAUGAUCAGUCACACUGGAACUGAGACACGGUCCAGACUCCUACGGGAGGCAGCAGUGGGGAAUAUUGGACAAUGGGCGAAAGCCUGAUCCAGCCAUGCCGCGUGUGUGAAGAAGGUCUUCGGAUUGUAAAGCACUUUAAGUUGGGAGGAAGGGUAGUAACUUAAUACGUUGCUACUUUGACGUUACCGACAGAAUAAGCACCGGCUAACUUCGUGCCAGCAGCCGCGGUAAUACGAAGGGUGCAAGCGUUAAUCGGAAUUACUGGGCGUAAAGCGCGCGUAGGUGGUUCAGUAAGUUGGAAGUGAAAUCCCCGGGCUCAACCUGGGAACUGCUUUCAAAACUGCUGAGCUAGAGUACGGUAGAGGGUGGUGGAAUUUCCUGUGUAGCGGUGAAAUGCGUAGAUAUAGGAAGGAACACCAGUGGCGAAGGCGACCACCUGGACUGAUACUGACACUGAGGUGCGAAAGCGUGGGGAGCAAACAGGAU